rnacentral:tRNA from 1 species
CAUAGAGUAGCUUAAUACAAAGCAUCCGGCUUACACCCAGAAGAAUUCACAUCAGUGAACACUAUGA